rnacentral:rRNA from 1 species
UGCAGAGGCCUCGAGCGUUAGGCGGAAUCACUGGGCUUAAAGCGUGUGUAGGUGGAUGCCUAAGUACCUUGUGAAAUCCCACGGCUUAACCGUGGAACUGCUGGGUAUACUGGGUGUCUUGAGCCACUCAGGGGCUACCGGAACAAACGGUGGAGCGGUGAAAUGCGUAGAUAUCGUUUGGAACGCCAAUGGUGAAAACAGGUAGCUGGGGGUGUGCUGACACUGAGACACGAAAGCCAGGGGAGCAAACGGG